rnacentral:lncRNA from 1 species
UUGAGUCUAACUUGGUGCAUUGAUCUUAAGAUUCUUCCGAGCAUCACUGGUAUGAAGUCUCUUAAAACCAUUCGUCUUUCCGGUUGCUCAAGCCUUGAGAAGUUUUCCUGAGAUUUCAGAUGUUAUGGAGAAGCUAUCAGAGUUAUAUUUAGGUGGGACUGCAAUUAAAGAACUGCCUUCAUCAAUUAAUAAACUCACGGGCCUUGCUACUUUGGACCUACGAGGCUGUCGAGAACUCAAGAGCCUGCCGAGCAGCAUUCAUAUGGGAUCUCUUCAAACCUUUAAUCUUUCUGGUUGCUCAAACCUUGAGAUGUUUCCAGUGAUUUCAGAAGUUAUGGAGGAGCUAUCAGAGCUUCAUUUAGAUGGGAUUGCAAUUAAAGAACUGCCUUCGUCAAUUAAUAAACUCACGGGCCUUACUGUUUUGGACCUAUCUGGGUGUCAAGAACUCAAGAGCCUGCCGAGCAGCAUUCAUAUGAGAUCUCUUCAAACCCUUAAUCUUUCUGGUUGCUCAAACCUUGAGAAGUUUCCUGAGAUUUCAGAUGUUAUGGAGAAGCUAUCAGAGUUAUAUUUAGGUGGGACUGCAAUUAAAGAACUGUCUUCGUCAAUUAAUAAACUCACGGGUCUUCCUGCUUUGGACCUACGUGGCUGUCAAGAACUCAAGAGCCUGCCGAGGAGCAUUCAUAUGAGAUCUCUUCAAACCCUUAAUCUUUCUGGUUGCUCAAACCUUGAGAAGUUUCCUGAGAUUUCAGAUGUUAUGGAGAAGUUAUCAGAGUUAUAUUUAGGUGGGACUGCAAUUAAAGAACUGUCUUCAUCAAUUAAUAAACUCACGGGCCUUGCUACUUUGGACCUACGAGGCUGUCGAGAACUCAAGAGCCUGCCGAGCAGCAUUCAUAUGGGAUCUCUUCAAACCCUUAAUCUUUCUGGUUGCUCAAACCUUGGGAAGUUUACAGAAAUUUCAGAUGUUAUGGAGAAGCUAUCAGAGUUAUAUUUAGCUGGGACUGCAAUUAAAGAACUGUCUUCGUCAAUUAAUAAACUCACGGGCCUUACUGUUUUGGACCUAUCUGGGUGUCAAGAACUCAAGAGCCUGCCGAGCAGCAUUCAUAUGAGAUCUCUUCAAACCCUUAAUCUUUCUGGUUGCUCAAACCUUGAGAAGUUUCCAGAGAUUUCAGAUGUUAUGGAGAAGCUAUCAGAGUUAUAUUUAGAUGGGACUGCAAUUAAAGAACUGCCUUCGUCAAUUAAUAAACUCACGGGCCUUACUGUUUUGGACCUAUAUGGGUGUCAAGAACUCAAGAGCUUGCCGAGCAGCAUUCGUGUGGGAUCUCUUCAUACCCUUUUUCUUUCAGGCUGCUCAAAACUUGAGAAGUUUCAUGAGAUUUCAGAUGUUGUGGAGGAGCUAUCAGAGCUUCAUUUAGAUGGGACUGCAAUUAAAGAAUUGCCUUCGUCAAUUAAUAAACUCACAGGUCUUCUUACUUUGGACCUACGAGGCUGUCGAGAACUCAAGAGCCUGCCGAGCAGCAUUCAUAUGGGAUCUCUUCAAACUCUUAAUCUUUCUGGUUGCUCAAACCUUG